rnacentral:tRNA from 1 species
GGGGUUGUAGCUCAGUGGUAGAGCACUGGCCUCGCACGCGUGAGGCCCUGUGUUCAAUCCUCAGCACCA